rnacentral:lncRNA from 1 species
CGAUCAAAUAUCAAAUGGAUAAAAAAUAGUCUCUUUAAAAUCGACCUUUCAUAUAUUUAUAUACAUACGUUUUCCUUUUCUAAUCUUUUUCUAUUAUUAUUUUUAAGGAUAAUAUUUUAGGGAUCGUCCGACCAAAAGAUCAGACGAAUCAAAAUCAAUCCAAAAUUAUCAGACCAACACAAAUUAUCUGACUCGAUAAUUUAUUUUCAAAUUCGAAGGUUUGAAAUUUACAAAUUUAUAAAUAAGUUAUAUUUUGCAUAUAUAUAUAUAUAUAUAUAUAUAUAUUCAAUUAUUUUCUUAUUUUUUAUUUGAACCGUCCGAUCAAAUGAACGGACGGUCCAAAUAUUGGUCAAAAUCUUCAACCAAUGCAAUAAAUGAUGCACCAGAAAGGCACCAACAUGCAUUUUUCUUUUCUCAAGAAAACAACAAGUGGUCACCAUCAUUAUCCGCUCCCCUUUCUCUUCUUCUUUUCCCCUUCUUUCUUCUUUCUCCUCUAUUCUCCACCACCAAAACAUUAACCCUAGCGACAACCUCCAACUGUCCUUCUGCGCGACCCAUCUCCCCCACCCUAAAAAUCCACCGACUUCACUUUGACUGCAAAAGCAGGCACUAUUUGGUACCAAAAAAUCAAAAUUGCUAUAAGUAGCCUAAAAGGCAGAGGUUGGAAUAGGUGUUGGAUUUGAUUGCAAAAUCCAUUCUUUUUCUUCUUCUCAUUUUCAAUUUUUGAGGUCUCAAAUCCGAACUUUCAAGUCCGAAUUUAGCACCUAUAAAUAUGGUGUUUUCAUCCCCUAUGAAGGCAAGAAACUUUGAGAGAGAGAAAUCCGGGAGAAGGGUUCAAGAUCUGGAAAAGGGGGAACGAGUGAAAAUAUGAGAGAAAGGCAAAUUUUGAGAGAAAUUUUCGAUCUGUAAGAAAGAAAAAUUCGCGAGAAAGCAAAGAGAUUGGAAGUUUCUAAAUCAAGAAAAAAAAGGGAGACAAAAAAAAUGAAGUAAGGAAAAUUGGUCUUGUUUUUUUAUUUCCAGAAUACAUGUUUUGGAAUAAGUUUGGAAUAUGUUCUGAAAAAGAAAAGUUUUUUCCAAAGUUGCUAUUUCUUUUUUAUUUUGGUCAAGUCGGAGUCCGAUAGUUGAGUUAUUUGUCGAUGAAAAAUCCCUAGGCAUUGAGGCUCCCAUUUGCUAUGCCAACAAAGAUGUCAAAGGAUAAGAAAUGCAAGGUAUAUAUAUUCAUUCGCUACCACAUACAAGGUAUAUUAUUUUCAAUAUUAUUAUAGUAAUUAUUUUCAUCAUUAUUAUCAUUCAUUAUUAUUGCCAUUAUUAUUUAUACAACCAUUAGUACUAUUAAUUAUUAUUAUUAUUAUUAUUAUUAUGGUUUAAACGACUUCAUAUGUUAUGCAUUAUAUUAUUAUUAUUAUUAUUAUUAUUAUUAUUAUUAUUAUUUUAAUUUCAACCCAUUCAUAAUCUUUCAUAUAUUCCCUCACAUACUCUUAAAUAUACUUUUCGUAAUUAAAUUUUCGCGUCAUGAAAAAAAAUAUAUUUGCUUAUGUUUUAGUCAUAUACUUAAACUUCACAUGUCUUAAAGUUUCUUUAUAAGAUCAUAAGAUUUUUCACUUUCUGAUGUGUAAAUUACAUUAUUAGCCUUUUCGUAUCCUACAAAUAUUCAUAUUUUGCGAUAAUUAUAUUACUUCCUUGUACAUGGUAGCGUCUUGUUUACUAUACUUUAAAAUUCCUUGUAAAUAACGAUAGUGAAUAUAUGACAAAAAAAUUUUCAACACAUUUUAGCAAAUAACGAAGCAAUGCUUUCCUAAAUUGAGUGUAAGAACUAUCUUUGGAUAUACUCUGCGGGUUGCCUAACACUUCCCCUCGAGUAACCAAAGUCCUUACUCAAAAUCUCAAAAAUGUUUCGAAGGACCAAAACAGAGUUCUUCUACAUAAUAAUAGUUUUUUCCUAAUUUUUCUAAAAAGUUAGGUGGUGAAUCUAAAAAAUAAUUUUGAAAACCCAAGAGUCACGACACGCCAGCACAUGUUAUGUGUUGUUUCAACCAGUUCAAAAUAGGGCGCGACAUAUGUCACGAUCCAAAAAUGAGUCGCGGUGUACCUUGACAAGUAAGCCUAUCAUCCAAACUGAUACAGAAAGAGAAAAAGACGGAAACAUCUCAAGGUAAGGCUUUUAGAACGAAGCCGAAUCAUAUAAGUAAUCAUAACAAUGCAGAAAGAACUUAUCCAAUAUACCAAUCAUUCCCAAAACCAAGUGUCAAUAGUGUAAGAACUACUCAUAGAAUCCAGGAGUCAAAUACAUCAGAAAAAUAAUCGAAAGAAAAUAAUAUCUAUCUCUGAAUACUAAUAAAUACAUAACUACUAUAGAAAGAUAGAGGUGAACUACGGACUCAUAAAUGUCCAGUCACUAUCUUGAAAGCUCCAAUAAUCACCUAAGUCAAGCAAGUUGAGGCACACUCGAUCUAGGACCUACACCAAAAGGGUGUAGUAGGCAUGAGUACGGUCCACUUGUACUCAGUAGCUAUCAUAGGCCAAUCAAUCAAAGUAGCAAAUAAAGCAUAAAAAAUAUACACUAAGGGCACGUCACCUGUAAUCAGAAAAUAUCCCACAACGGUAGCCCACACCUCUUGCACUAACAGUUCUAGAAUUGUAGACACCUAAUUUUGUCCCUCUCCGAUAUCACUUUUACUCAUUUUUACCUUAUCCUAUUGCGUACCCUCACCCAUGUGAUUAUAUCCCACAAAAAUACAAAAAUAACAACCCUUUUAUAAUUUUCAAACAAAUUUCAUCUUAUUUUAAUCUUAUCCUAACUAACUUACCCUAUCCCACCUACCCUAUACCCUCACCCAUACCCCACUUCCUCUCAACGUGACUCCUCCCUUAUAUUUAUUUUCCAUAAAUUAAAAGGCAUAUACACACAGAUUCUAUCCAAUUGAGGAGGGGGGAUCACUCACAUAAUAUAUACAAUAUACAUAGAAGACAAAGGGAGGUCUGGUGGGUUUUUCCAGAGAGAGGGAUAAAAAGAGAGAGAAAGAGAAGCACAGAGAGUACUAUUUAUGGUUUUCUUCUCCAAGAGGUCGUACAUACACAAAGAACCAUAAAAUCGCGCCCCACAUACUGAAAUAGAAUAAUCGAGAGAGAGAGAGAGUCACAAAGAGAGAGAACACAAGUUUUGCGGGUUCGUUACUAUUCCAGUGAUAGACUCAUCGAAAAUGCAUUGGAGCCCUCACAAAUACUUACAAACCUAUCGAAAUAGGUUGCAAUUAGUAUGACUGUGUUUGUUUUCGGUCAUCGUUGAGGUUAUCGAAGUCGCGACAUCAUAUAGCAGUCAAUCUAAGCUCGAUCCGCUUCCAAUUCCGUUCAAACUUGUUUGAAUACAGUCCAAAGUUCUUUUAUUCUCACGAUUUUUAGCUCAGGUCAAAUUGGUUUUCAGUCUCUUUUGAAUUUUUGAUGCUUUUGGUUAGUAUGUCUUGGUGAUUCAUUGUCGAAAUCAGGUUUCGAGUUCAUUGAUUGUUGUUUUGGGCUUGAGAUUUGGGUCUUCCAAUCAUCUCGACCAGUCAUGGGUUUCAAAUUCUUCAAUAUCAGAGUUGGAGGUCGUCACUAUUGAGGUUCUAUUCGGGAUUCUCGGAUUCGGGCUUCUUUAAUUCUAUAUUAUCUAUGAAAUUGAUUCUCCGAAAGUCCAUCUCCUAACUUUGCUCUUUUAUUUUCUCAAAUUUUAGUUAAUAUCAUGAUUUGUGGUGUGGUAGAUUUUGAAAAGCAAUUUGAUAGCCGAAUUGGUUUAAUCACGUGAGUUUUGGGAGGGUCAGAGUUCAAACAUUGAUAAAAGUGAAUAUUAGUUCAUGGUGAUUUAUGGAUAAACCUUGAUUCGGGAUAAGUAUCGACUUUGUUUAAAUUCGAUAGUCUCAUAGUUUAAGUUAACAAUUAUUAGGCAAACGAUAGGGGGAAGCAUGUAAGAAUGUCGGAUUGGUGAAUGCUUGAAAUGUGUGUUUAAUGGUUUUCACUUAUCACUUUUGGAUCACUUAUAAUAUUUGGUCGGGGAAUGCCCCAAAGUAUCUGUAUAUAUUUAUUCACCGGGGAAUGCCCCGAGGUAUCUUGUACCCAGAGAAUAUUCGUGAUGAAGGCCCAACGUGUCGGGUAAAGCACGGGAGUGUAAUUAGGAUUAGUAUAGGUCAGAUAGGAUUUAUUUUCAUAUUUUUCUAUUUUGGGCUGUAUAAAUUGCACCGGACACUAUAUUUUUGGAUUCAUUUUGUUUUCUUUGUUUGUUUGAUUGUUUUACGUGUUUUUUAGUGUGGUUUAUACAUUCAUAGUGUCAGAUUAGCCGAUACGCUCCACCAAGCGACCAUUGUCAAACCACGGGAUCGAGGAGUGCCUAACACCUUCCUCUCGGUCAAUAGAAUUUCUUAGCCAGAAUCUCUGUUCGCAGAUCAGUUUUAAAGAGUCAAAUCAUUUUAAAAAGGAUCUUUCAAAGGUGACUUGUCACACCGGAUUAUGUCAAGUGGAGACUCUGAAUAAAAAAUGUAAAUAAUCCUUUUUCGAAAUAAAUUUUUAAUCUCAUGUCACUUCGAUAAUAAAAACCAUUUCGAAACUAAAAAUCCAAUCUUUUGGGGUUAAAAAAAAGAGGUGUGACAGCUCUGGAGACUCUACUGGAGAUUUUUCAGAAUUCGAGUUUAUUUUUUUGAGUUGUUUCAGCUUAGUUUGACAUUAUGGGUGUAUAAACAUUGUUUGUCUUAUCGUUUGUGUGUAUUUUAUCAUUGUUGUGUGCCUACGUGUUUACAGUCUUUCUUUAUGUGUUACCACUUUAUAUCUGGCAUCAUUUGCAUAACCCGAGUCAAUUCUUUCUGCAAUAAGUCUCGGAGUGCACGUCGUGUAAACGAACUCUAGUUGAGUCAUUCUUAUUUUUAGGAGGGGGAGCCGUUAGACGUAUGGAGUAGGUGGAAAGCUGUCGCAGCCACUAUCGACCAUACGUUCCCCCGAACAGCCUUGUUAGUGAACCCCAGCGUAAGUCUACCUUUAGGUCAUGCUUAUGUGCGUCAUAUUAAGACUUAGCGAGGCCCACUUGGUCCUUUGUAGGAGACUGACCCUUAAAGCAUCCUACGUGCUAAUUAUCCCAUUUUUUAAGGUGAUGAGGCCAUUUAACAUACCGAUUUGGGGAAAGCAUAUUGCUAGAAGUAAAGUGUGUAGACAAGAAAGUGUUAAAAAAAAAGUUUCGGAGUUUUUAGAAUUUUUUAUAGUUUGUGUUUUUUUUCACAAUCCAAAAAUUCAAAAAGAUUUUUUUUACCUUUCGCACUCAUUUUCUCAAAAACAUCAAACUGAUUUCCCUUUAUCUCCUCUAGCAAGCAUUCAUAAUUCAAAAAAUUCAAAAAAAAAAUUCUUAAUAGGAGCUUUUUAAUAAAAGAACAUUUUAAAAAGAUGGUAGAAGUUCUGUACAUUUCAUAUAACAAAAAUACCAAAAGAUUUUUCUUUCAUAGUUGUUGGUGUCAUUUUUGUGUGAAGUGUUAAAUUAAAAAUCCCAAAAAGAUUUUAUUGACGUUUUUCAUCAUUUUUCUUUGGUAAUGUCUCAUAAUUCAAGGUUUAGUUUGUUAUUUAAUCUUUAAUUGUCCAAUCUGGACGAACUACGCACCCCUGAUUCUCCUCUCUCGGGAGUGAGAUACGUAGGCUACCUAUUGUUGGUUUGGGGAUCUUAUUUACAAAAUUCAAAAAAGAUUUUUUUUACUCUUUAUUUAGAGUAGGUGUUUCACAUAUGCCUCGAAAAGAAAACUACAAAAAGAUUUUCCUUAAUAGUCGUAGGUUUUAUUUUUGGUUGAUCUAAUUUGAAAAAUCCAAAAAGAUUUUCUUCACCCUUUAUUAGAGUAGGUGUCAUAUACUUCUUUAAAAGAAAACUACAAAAAUAUUUUUCUUUAUUAGGUUCAAGUUUCAUUUUCAUAUGAAAUUCAAAAUUGAAAAUCCAAAAAGAUUUUUCUUUGGUAAUCAUAAGUUUCAUUUUUAUACAGGGAUUUAAACCUGAAAAAUGCAAAAAGAUUUUCGCCAAUUCUUUUGACAAUUUGUUAUUUUCUUUUCUUUUUAUUUUUUAAAAGAUUCAAGAAAAAAAAAGAAAAGAAAAAGAGUUUAAUUGGCCAUUUUGGCAAGACUUCACGAGCUACGCACACCUAAUUCUCCUCUUUCGAGUGUGAGAUAUGUAGGCGCCCUUAUUGGGUUCAGUGAUCUUUUUAAAAAGAAAAAGAAGGAAAAAAAAGGUUUUCAAAAAAUGUUGAACUCUAACACCUUUGUUACCUCUUGUUCAGUUAGUUUAGGGUGGUUGGUUUGUGACAUCCUGGCUGGUCCUCCACAUCACACCAAAUCUAAAGAAGAGUUAGUUGUGUCCAACAAGGAUAUAGAAAGUGAAAUCAUGGAUCAAAAAAAGAGUCAUUAAAAUGAGAGUUUGAAGCAAGAUAUUAGGAGACUAAGGCAACAAAUAACAAAAAUGCUCCAAGCUUGGGCCAGUGGAUUGCCUCCUCCCCCAUUUCCCGCUAUUGAUCCUACAAAUACCUCGAGUUUUCCACCAAAAUUAAAGAGUCAGUUUCCUACCAUUAUUAAUGCACCACAACAUGACACAGAAUUUAUUCCAAGCCCAAAACAUCUCAAUACUUCCAUCAGUUUUCCUCUAGCUCCUCAUAUAAGCUUGCUACAUUUACAACACCACAUGUCGUCCAUGAUCUUAUUGCUCAAUCAUCUACUGAGGCUUCUACAUUGUCUAGCCACCCAACGGUUGUUCUUUCCCAUGCUACUAGUAGACCCAUGUUCAAUACUCUUGGUGGAUCAUUGCUAUACUCCUGAUCCUACAUUUAAGUUAACUGGACCACCAAAAUUUCUUAACAAGAAGGUAUGGCAGAAGAGCCAGAUAAAAUGGUUGGAAAAAUAAAGAGUGCAGGAAAUGCUGUGAAAAGUUCCCUAAGACUUGCGAGUGAAGAAGAUGUUUCAUACAAAAACUGGGGCAUGUCUUCAAGUGUUAACUCUCCUCUAAGCCUUGAGAUAUCAAAAUGCGAUGAGCAAGAUGGACAAGAGGAAUCCAUGAAAUAUUUGGGACAAUAUUGCAAUCAAUUAAAGGAAACUGGAGAGAAGAAGACUAAGAAAGAUACAGCUGCUAUUAUAGUUGGAGAAUGGGCACAUCUAGGAAGACGACAUCGUCGUUGCCGUCAAUCUCAGGCCCAAGUUCAUACCCAAGCUCUCUAUAAUCCUUCCCAAAAUCCAUUAUACUCUAUUUCCCCACCUUCAUAUCUAGUAUACUACGCACAGCCAUAUGUUCAACUCUCUUCUUACUCACAAUGGCGUGCACCGACUCCUUAGAGUUACCUUCUGGCUCCACAAAUCUAUCAAAGCCUUUCCAAGCUCGAUUUUAGAUCCAAUCCAAACAAUGAAAUGAGGCAGAAAUCGAGGGAUAGCUUCACACCAAUUGGAGAGCCGUAUGCCAUCUUAUUUCGGAUAUUGGUACAGCGGGGCAUGAUCAUUCCUCUCCUUGGGUAUACUCCUAACCCGCAUUUAAGAAGUUUUGAUCCUAAUGUUCGAUGUGCAUAUCAUUCUGAUGUUCAGGGUCACAAUAUUGAAGAUUAUCGGGAUUUGAAAAGAGAAAUUAAAAAGAUAAUUCAAGAUAAAUCAAUUAUGGUACAGAAUAAUGACAGUGAGGAAAGCUCUAGUCAUACUGAUACGCAAACCAGUGGCUAAAAUGUCAGGUUGAGCAAUUGAGAAGUUACCUCUCUCCCUACUACGAAGAGGUCUGGUAGUUUGUUUUGUUUUAUUUUUUAUUUUUUGAAUUAUUUCAGGUUUGUAGUUCGGGAUCUAUCUUGUUUUGUCCCUUUAUCAUUAUUUGAAAACCAUUCUAUCUUUCAUUUCAACUAAAUUAAGUGUCCAUUUCCCUUUGUGUUUUAAAUGUGUGUUAUUUGUUUUCUUUACACAGUACAUUUUAUGUUGGUUCUGGUGAUAUAACAUGCUAGCAAAAUUUUCAGCCAGAUCUUAAACUCCAGUUUAAGCAUGAACAUAGAAUCAGAGGGUUAAAGUUAGAAAAGAGAGCACCUCAAAAAAUAAAUAGAGUGUUGAGUCAUUUGGUGAUCAAGUUGAAGCCGUCUUUAAAAUCCAGGCAAUUAUUUUGAGAAUCAUGAGAAUAACUUGGUCAUCAAUUGAAAUACAUAUCUCAAUUAGGUUAAAUAAUGAAUGUGUGCUCCCGAGGAACAGAAUAAAAAUCAACUCCACGAAAGCAUGAGUCAUUCAAUGUGAGGAAAGUAUAACAAAGAUGGAGUUGUAUGUUCAGCAAGUGUAGAAGAAGAGGUGGUACAUAUGUUCAGGGCAAGUUAGUGUUGUAAAACAUGUCAUAAGUGAUAUUGAUCGUGCACUUUCAUAUUGCAUGAUAUGUACUUGCAUUUUCAAGGAUUGAUAUGACGAAGACAUUUCAUUCUGCUAUCCAAAUAUCGUGUCAUCCUUUAUUUACCCCAUUCGAGCUUUAGUCCUAUUUUCUUUCAUACCCCUCUUUUGGAAUUAAAAUAGAGUCAAAAAAAAAUAUGUCCAAAAAAAAAAGUGCCAAGACAAAUAGAAUCAGAAAAAUCCAAAGAGAAAAGAGUGUCAAUAAAAGAAAAAGAAUCAAAAGUCUAAAUCAUGCAAAACAAGCUACCAGAACUACACAUGACUUGAUUCUCCUCUUUCAGGGCUGAGAUACGUAGGCUACCCUAUUCGAGGCUCGGUCCAGCCAAAUAAAUAAUUUAAAAUUCCCCAGUCAAAAGAAACUGGGGCAUGAGUUAAUCUUCAUUGUUUGAGUCGAUUCCAAAAGUUGUAAGUCCCACCUCACUUCAGGUGUCGUUUGGGCCCCAUGCCAUCCUUUCUUUCUAAUCCUAUCCAAAAACCAAGUUACAACCAAAGAAAAACCUUCAGAUCAAUCUGUAAGAAUGCUAAGGCUAAGCACGCAAUGGAUGUGAUGAUGCAUUUUGGGAACUACUAGUCUUCCUCAGUGUAAGGAAUUAGGAGAGAAAUGAAAAUGAGAGAGUUUUAUCGGUGAAAACCCUCACGGGCACUAUAAGACAAUGGUGAGUUAAGAUAAGUAAAAAUAAGAGUCUUAUCGGUGAAAACUCUCACGGGCACCGUAAGACGACUGUGAGCUGAGAGAAAUGAAAAUUAGAGAAUCUCAUUGGUGAAAAAACUUCACGGAUACCAUAAGGCAAAGGUGAGCCGAGAGAAAGAAAAUGAGAGAGGCUUGUUGGCGAAAACCCUUCAAGGUGUCACUAGCCGAAUGAGGCCUCUGAAUGCAAUUGACCUCAGAAAGCAAUUCAAUUUCGAGGUCAUUCACUUAACAACAAUUGAUAGAGAGUCUUGGAUGGAAAGAUCAGGCAUUCUAAUCCGAUAUGCAUGUCAUAAUCAUUAGAGUUGACUGUCAUUUUUAGAUAAACUUUUUUUUCAUCUUUUUUAAUGGGGACAUUCAUUGUCGUUUUUUUUCUUCAAUUUAGUUAAAUUUUAUUUUCUUGAGUCAGUUAUCAAAAUAAAGCAAAAAUUAUUGUUAUUUUUCUCUUGUCUUUGAGUCAAGUCCUUGUCAAAACAAAUGAGAAAAGAUUUCAAAACUGGCUGCCAACUUCUUCAAUUGCACAAAGCAAGGCAGAAAGUCCAGCAUGAAAAAGACAUGAUUAUGAGCCGAAAAAAAGAGCAUGCAUAAAGCUUUGUCAACGGGAAAAUCUGGGAACUCAUGAAAAUACCAAGGUUUAAAGGGUUUAUCUGAGAAGCAUGGGAAAGCGGAGAUACUGUGUUUACUUUAGAGGCACUCUUAAUAAUCUGUGUUUGGAUCAAUGACGUGACAAAGCAGGGGAAAGUAUUAACAAUCCAAAACAAAAUGAAGGAAAUAGACACUAGAGCAGGUGUCGGGACAGCCAAGUGCUGCAAGCCACCACUAUAUUUUUAACUGACAAAUUUCCUUUGUUGAAACAGGUGAAAAUUCGCUUCACUUAAUUUAGCUACCAUUGGAAAAACACAUCCAUAGUAAUUUAAUUUUUGUUCAGGACCCUCCUGAAUAAUGGAAUUUUCUUUUUGUUCAGGACCAUCCUAAAAAAUGGGAAUUUACUUUCUGUUAAGGACCCACCUGAAAAAUGAGAAUUUACUUUUUGUUCAGGACCCUCCUGAAAAAUGGGAUUUUACUUUCUGUCCAGGACCCUUCUGAAAAAUGGAAUUUUACUUUCUGUUCAGGACCCUCUUGAAAAAUGGGAUUUUACUUUCUGUCCAGGACCCUCCUGAAAAAUGGGAUUUUACUUUCUGUUCAGGACCCUCCUAAAAAAUGGGAUUUUACUUUCUGUCCAGGACCCUCCUAAAAAAUAAGAAUUUACUUUCUGUUCAGGACCCUCCUGGAAAAAGGCAAUUUACUUUCUAUUUAGGACUCUCCUGAAAAAUGGAAUUUUACUUUUUGUCCAGGAACCUCCUGAAAAAUGGGAUUUUACUUUUUGUUUAGGACCCUCCUGAAAAUGGAAUUUUACUUUCUGUCCAGGACCCUCCUGAAAAAAUGGUAUUUUACUUUCUGUUUAGGACCCUCCUAAAAAAUGAAAUUUUACUUUAUGUUCAGGACCCUCCUGAAAAAAUUGGACUUUACUUUCUAUCCAGGACCUUCCUGAAAAAUGGUACCAUACUUUCAAAACAUGAAAUCCUUCUUUAUCAUAAUCUUUGUUCGGGAUAAUUUUCGUUCUAGUUAAUUUUAGUUUCAGAAGCUCCGACAGGGUGAUGAAAUUGGAAGUUGAUAAAAUUGCAAGUCAGGAGUCCGCCUGAAGUACAGGAUGAUGAAAUUGGAAGUUGAGAAAAUUGUAAGUCAGGAACCCACCUGAAAAAUAGGAUGAUGAAAUUGGAAGUUGAUUGCAAAUUGCAAUUCAGGAGUCCACGUGAAGAAUAGGGUGAAGAAAUUGAAAGUCAAGCAACAAGGUGAAGCAAUUGAAAGCUAAAGAACAAGUUAGAAGAAAAUGCAAAUCAGGAGCCCGCCUGAAGAAUAGGGUGAUAAAACUCAAGUUAAAAGUCUAAUAGAAGCUACAUGGAUAGGAUUUUUGUAAUUUCAUUUAUGUUUUAACUUGUAAUUUUCAUUUUGAUGUAAUGACAGAACCGCGGACCGAAACCUCGAUGGAACCUCACUCGACUCUCCAACUUGGUAUUGUUCUUCUCUUUCAAAUCCUUUGAAAUACCCGUGACUUGAUUCCCUCAUGAAUUGGGUAGGUAGGAUGUCCUAAGUCAAGACCCGAUUGCUCUUUUUUCCUUCUAUUUCUUUGAAUAAUGGUUGGGAUAGUUUUUUCUCGUUGUCCACUUCUUUGUCUGAAAACACUUCGUGUUUACAUUCAAAGGAGGCAUGAUGUAGACACCUAAUUUUGUCCCUCCCCGAUAUCACUUUUACUUAUUUUUACCUUAUCUUAUCGCGUAUCCUCACCCAUGUGAUUAUAUCCCACAAAAAUACAAAAAUAACAUAACCUUUUCAAAUUUUCUAACAAAUUUUAUCUUAUUUUAAUCUUAUCCUAACCAACUCACCCUACCUCACCUACCUUAUACCCUCACCCAUACCUCACUCUCUCUCCAUAUGACCCUUCCUCCAUAUUUCUUUUCCAUAAAGUAAAAGGCAUAUACACACAGAUUCUAUCCAAUUUAGGAGGGGGAACCACUGACCACUUACAUAAUAUAUAAAAUAUACAUAGAAGACAAAGGGGAUCUGGUGGGUUUUUCCAGAGAGAGGGAUAAAGAGAGAGAGAAAGAGAAGCACAGGGGUACUAUUUUUUGUUUUCUUCUCCAAGAGGUCCCCCACACACAAAGAACCAUAAAAUCAUGCCCCCACAUACAGAAAUAGAAGAAUCGAGAGAGAGAGAGAGAGAGAGUCACGGAGAGAGAGAACUCAGGUUACGCGAGUUCGUUACUGUUUUGGCUAUAGACUCGUCGGAAACAUUUCGGAGCCAUCACAAAUACAUACAAACUCGUUGGAAUACAUUGCAAUUAGUAUUAUUGUGUUUGUUUUUGGUCAUCGUUGAGGUUAUCGGAGUUGCGACGUCAUAUAGUAGUCAAUCUAAGCUCGAUCCGCUUCCGAUUUCGUUCAAACUUGUUGGAAUCCGGUCUGAAGUUCUCUUAUUCACGAGAUCUUUAGCUCAGGUCGUAAUGAUUUUUAGUCUCUUUUGAAUUUUUUAAGCUUUUGGUUAGUCUGUCUUAGUGAUUCGUUGUCGAAAUCAGGCUUUGAGUUCAUUGAUUGUUGUUUCAGGCUUGAGAUUUGGGCCUUCCAGUCAUUUUGACCAGUCGUAGGUUUCAAAUUCUUCAAUAUCAGAGUUGGAGGUCAUCACUAUUGAGGUUCUAUUCAGGAUUCUCGGAUUUGGGCUUCUUUAAUUCUAUAUUAUCUACGAAAUUGAUUCUCCGAAGGUCCAUCUCCUAACUUUACUCUUUCAUUUUCUCAGGUUAAUAUCGUGAUUUGUGGUGUGGUUUUGAAUAUUUUGAGCAAAUGUUGAUUGUUGUUGUGGAUAUAAAUGAUUGAUAUGCUUAAAUAUUUGAAUCUUUGUUG